UACGAGGGGGGCGAGCGUUGUUCGGAAUUAUUGGGCGUAAAGGGUGCGUAGGCGGUUUGGUAAGUCUUAUGUGAAAUCUACAGGCUCAACUUGUAGUCUGCAUGAGAAACUGCCGGGCUUGAGUGUGGGAGAGGUGAGUGGAAUUCCUGGUGUAGCGGUGAAGUGCGCAGAUAUCAGGAGGAACACCGAUGGCGAAGGCAGGUCUCUGGGCAUUAACUGACGCUGAGGAGCGAAAGCAUGGGGAGCGAACAGG
rnacentral:rRNA from 1 species